AUCAUCAAGGAAGGAGUCUAGCUGUAAAGGAUACCUCCCUUCCUCUGAUGAGAGUGACAACUGGGUGGCUGGCAUCGGAGGGCAGCCGGCUCUCCUUUGGCAAACAAACACCCACUCUGGUUAGGAGACCUAUGUGGAAUGAUGUUUUUCUCUGAUGUAACUUCAACCUUGGGAUUAAGAAAAAGCAAAAUCAGCCAAACAAAUAACAUCAAGUAAGCUGAAGGUCAAGAGAUUAAUCUCUGGAGAUGAGAGCUGAUGUACCAAAGGCACAAAGCCAUGAAGUGGCUGAGCGAGGACUCAAUCCUAGAGUAAUGCGGUGGGGACAGUGUUAUUCUUAUAAAAUCUGCCACUGAAAUUCUUGCAGGGAGAGAAUUGUUGGGAGGAUGUUUAGCUAAAUGCCUCAGGUUUGCAUCACAUCACAGAAGAAUUUGGACUUCUUAAUGUCACGGAGCAGAUGAGGUGAUUAAUAGUGGUAUGAGAGAGAAGGAGGAUACAGGAGACCCGUACAACUGUUCAGCAUGUGAUGGGCAUCCUCACCCUAAAUCAUUAUAGUCUAUUAAACUUUUGAAUGUGGUUUUGUGUUUAAUUUUUGGAGUGGACACUGAAGAGUAAAUUUUAUCUUGGAGUAAAGGUACUAAGAAUAGAGGACAGUGCUUUGAAUGGUUAUGGGAAAAUGGGAUGGGAGAUUAUCAUCCUAGGGCCAAGAUGAUGUGAAAUGAGUUCUGCUAUGAAUUCGAUUUGACAAUGAAAUGCACUGAGUCACAGUACGAAUUUUCUCUGGGUCACCAAACCACUCAGUGUUCCAGCCAGGAUUUGAACCCAUGAAGUCCAAGUCUAGAGUCAGUAUGGUAAACAGUUAUGCAAUGGAGCCUCUCCAAAAUUGUGGGAUUCUUUUGCUUUUAAGAAUUUGAAGAAUUGUAAUGCAUAACAGAACAAUUUUUGAUCCAGUAAUGAGAAGUCAGAGGUAUGUCAAAAAGAAAGUUUUCCGUUGCCAAGCGGAAUUGUGAAUAAUAUGAUGGACUUAAGGGAAUUGGGAUUAAAAAUAAGGCAAACAAGAAGUGAUUCUAGGGCCAGCCGAGUGGUACAUUGGUUAGGAGUUGGCUUGGGAUGCCAGCUCUGAG